rnacentral:rRNA from 1 species
AUACGGAGGAUGCAAGCGUUAUCCGGAUUUAUUGGGUUUAAAGGGUGCGUAGGCGGAUGAUUAAGCGUGAGGUGAAAUGCCACUGCUCAACAGUGGAACUGCCUCGCGAACUGGUUGUCUUGAAUGCUCCUGCCGUGGGAGGAAUGUGUGGUGGAGCGGUGAAAUGCAUAGAGAUCACACAGAACACCGAUUGCGAAGGCAUCUCACGAAGGGGUGAUUGACGCUGAGGCACGAAAGCGUGGGGAUCAAACAGGAUUAGAUACCCUGGUAGUCCACGCAGUAAACGAUGAUAACUAACCGCUGGGUCGUAGUGAUUCAGUAGCCAAGCGAAAGCGAUAAGUUAUCCACCUGGGGAGUACGACCGCAAGGUUGAAACUCAAAUGAAUUGACGGGG